AUUGAACGCUGGCGGCAUGCCUUACACAUGCAAGUCGAACGGCAGCACGGGUGCUUGCACCUGGUGGCGAGUGGCGAACGGGUGAGUAAUACAUCGGAACGUACCUUAUCGUGGGGGAUAACGCAGCGAAAGCUGUGCUAAUACCGCAUACGCCCUGAGGGGGAAAGCGGGGGAUCGCAAGACCUCGCGCGAUUAGAGCGGCCGAUGCCUGAUUAGCUUGUUGGUGGGGUAAAAGCCCACCAAGGCGACGAUCAGUAGCUGGUCUGAGGGGACGGUCAGACAAACUGGGACUGAGACCCGGCCCAGACUCCUACGGGAGGCAGCAGUGGGGAAUUUUGGACAAUGGGGGCAACCCUGAUCCAGCAAUGCCGCGUGAGUGAAGAAGGCCUUCGGGUUGUAAAGCUCUUUUGUCAGGGAAGAAACACCGGCUCUAACACAGUCCGGGAAUGACGGUACCUGAAGAAUAAGCACCGGCUAACUACGUGCCAGCCGCCGCCGUAA
rnacentral:rRNA from 1 species